GAAUCUGCCUUUAGGUCCGGGACAACCACUGGAAACGGUGGCUAAUACCGGAUGUGCCGCAACGUGAAAGGGGAAACCCGCCUGAAGAUGAGCUCGCGUCUGAUUAGCUAGUUGGUGAGGUAAAGGCUCACCAAGGCGACGAUCAGUAGCUGGUCUGAGAGGAUGACCAGCCACACUGGGACUGAGACACGGCCCAGACUCCUACGGGAGGCAGCAGUGGGGAAUUUUCCGCAAUGGGCGAAAGCCUGACGGAGCAAGACCGCGUGAGGGAAGAAGGCUCUUGGGUCGUAAACCUUUUUUGUCAGGGAAGAACACAAUGACGGUACCUGACGAAUCAGCCUCGGCUAACUCCGUGCCAGCAGCCGCGGUAAUACGGAGGAGGCAAGCGUUAUCCGGAAUUAUUGGGCGUAAAGCGUCCGUAGGUGGCUAGUCAAGUCUGCGGUCAAAGACUGGGGCUUAACCCUGGAAAGGCCGUGGAAACUGACGAGCUAGAGUGCAGUAGGGGUAGAGGGAAUUCCCGGUGUAGCGGUGAAAUGCGUAGAGCUCGGGAAGAACAUCGGUGGCGAAAGCGCUCUACUGGACUGCAACUGACACUCAGGGACGAAAGCUAGGGGAGCG
rnacentral:rRNA from 1 species